ensembl:ncRNA F52B10.10 ncRNA
UAAACAAGAAAAAGUACUUGAACAUAUUCUUCUGUAAGCUUUCACAGAUCGAAAAGAAAAGAACAGAGCGUGAUAGGAUUGAAAAAAAAGAAGCUAACUGCAAACAAGAAAGCAAAAUCGGGUGAAUGACAAUGUUUGUUCCACUUCCACUUAUGACU